GACGAACGCUGGCGGCGUGCUUAACACAUGCAAGUCGAACGGAAAGGCCCUGCUUUUGUGGGGUGCUCGAGUGGCGAACGGGUGAGUAACACGUGAGUAACCUGCCCUUGACUUUGGGAUAACUUCAGGAAACUGGGGCUAAUACCGGAUAGGAGCUCCUGCUGCAUGGUGGGGGUUGGAAAGUUUCGGCGGUUGGGGAUGGACUCGCGGCUUAUCAGCUUGUUGGUGGGGUAGUGGCUUACCAAGGCUUUGACGGGUAGCCGGCCGGAGAGGGUGACCGGCCACAUUGGGCCUGCGAUACGGCCCAGACUCCUACGUGAGGCAGCAGUGGGGAAUAUUGCACAAUGGGCGGAAGCCUGAUGCAGCAACGCCGCGUGCGGGAUGACGGCCUUCUGGUUGUAAACCGCUUUCGCCUGUGACGAAGCGUGAGUGACGGUAAUGGGUAAAGAAGCACCGGCUAACUACGUG
rnacentral:rRNA from 1 species